GGCUCCAUGGUCAAGUGGUUAAGACAUCGCCCUUUCACGGCGGUAACACGGGUUCAAAUCCCGUUGGAGUCA
rnacentral:tRNA from 3 species